rnacentral:rRNA from 1 species
GAUGAACGCUGGCGGCGUGCCUAAUACAUGCAAGUCGAGCGAACAGACGAGGAGCUUGCUCCUUUGACGUUAGCGGCGGACGGGUGAGUAACACGUGGGUAACCUACCUAUAAGACUGGGGUAACUUCGGGAAACCGGAGCUAAUACCGGAUAAUAUUUCGAACCGCAUGGUUCGAUAGUGAAAGAUGGCUUUGCUAUCACUUAUAGAUGGACCUGCGCCGUAUUAGCUAGUUGGUAAGGUAACGGCUUACCAAGGCAACGAUACGUAGCCGACCUGAGAGGGUGAUCGGCCACACUGGAACUGAGACACGGUCCAGACUCCUACGGGAGGCAGCAGUAGGGAAUAUUCCGCAAUGGGCGAAAGCCUGACGGAGCAACGCCGCGUGAGUGAUGAAGGUCUUCGGAUCGUAAAACUCUGUUAUUAGGGAAGAACAAACGUGUAAGUAACUGUGCACGUCUUGACGGUACCUAAUCAGAAAGCCACGGCUAACUACGUG